rnacentral:rRNA from 1 species
GAUGAACGCUAGCUACAGGCUUAACACAUGCAAGUCGAGGGGAAACGACAUCGAAAGCUUGCUUUUGAUGGGCGUCGACCGGCGCACGGGUGAGUAACGCGUAUCCAACCUGCCCAUCACUUGGGAAUAACCUUGCGAAAGUAAGACUAAUACCCAAUGACAUCCCACGAAGACAUCUGAAUGGGAUUAAAGAUUUAUCGGUGAUGGAUGGGGAUGCGUCUGAUUAGCUUGUUGGCGGGGUAACGACCCACCAAGGCAACGAUCAGUAGGGGUUCUGAGAGGAAGGUCCCCCACAUUGGAACUGAGACACGGUCCAAACUCCUACGGGAGGCAGCAGUGAGGAAUAGUGGUCAAUGGGCGAGAGCCUGAACCAGCCAAGUAGCGUGCAGGAUGACGGCCCUAUGGGUUGUAAACUGCUUUUAUAAGGGAAUAAAGUGGGUCUCGUGAGACUUUUUGCAUGUACCUUAUGAAUAAGGACCGGCUAAUUCCGUG